UAAGAACACUUGAGUGAAGGAAUUUGAACAGUUUUGAAAGCAGCAGCAUGGAAACUUCAAUGAGGAUUGCAGCUAAGGGCAUGCCCAGAAGGCACGGGACUAACUGCGUCUAUCCUGCAGGCAAUAAGCAAUUGCUGAAGAUUCCAGACUUCUCAAAGUUCAGAGUUCAACGCGUAAAAACUUUGCUGAACUUGUGGUAGGCUGGGCUCUGUGUUUUGCAUCCUGUUUUCAGAGGCUCUCAGAGUCCCGGCAGUUUUUCUGUUUCUGUGCCGUCUCUGCACGGCGGGAACAAGGCUGAUUUUUUUCUCUUCAGCUUCCAUACCGAGGAGGUAUGCAUUAAACCCUCAGCUGCUUUCCUGGGGUAUGGUCUCUCCAGAGCUGGAGGGCAGGACAUCAGCAGGUGAAAAGCGUCUGUUUAUCGAAAUGAGAAGCAAAAGAUCUGCGUGGAAGCCCAGCUCUGUCCCCGUCUUGCUGUGUGACGUUGAUGGAGUCCUUCAGUGUGUCUAAGUCCCAGCUUCUUCCUCCGGCUUCUACUCCAGCUACCAGUUACCGAGUCCCUUCUACGUGCCAAUAAUACCUACCUCUCAACGGCACUGCACCCAAACCCAUGACUGAGCCCAUGCUAGGUGCUGGGGAGAGGAUGCUAAAUUACUCACUGUGUGGUCCCUCUUGGUCUAGCAGGCCACAGAGAGACCUGAACCAGUGCUUUAAUGGAAAGUGCCAGGUGUGUUCAUAGGGGCACAUACCACGUGCUAUGGGAGCUCAGAGAAGGGAGCAAUUCAUUCUUCCAGGGGGGGAUCCAGGAAAGGCCCAGAAGUGAGAGGAGAGGAUUGGAGCUGAUGAGCCAGUGAACAAGAAAGCAUUUUGCAAUUUUGGGGGGUUAGAAAAGCCACCCCAAGAAACGGUGAGGUAACUGGGCCGAGAUGAUUGCCAAACACCUGCAAGAUGCAGGCCUGGUGCCGUGAGCACGGAGGAGCCCGGUUAUCUACACAUGGGCCAUAUCUUUUGCAUCACCCUGAAGAAUCCUUGUUCUUUUGCCACUUCUCUGUUUUCUUAUCCCUAUGGUGC